rnacentral:lncRNA from 1 species
CUAAGAAUGCUACCUUGUUUAGCAGUAUUUCUGCUUUGUUUUGAAAACAGAGAAACGUGAAAUCUCCAAUCUGAGGGAAAGAUUCAUGAUGAUGAUCUGGGAGCUGCUAAAUCACCCACCUGCUUCCCCAGCUGACCAACAAAGAGGUAGAAUAUCAUACAGGGAUCAUGAGGUUCCUUUUGUGCUCAGGUUAAUUGUUCACACCUGUAUGCAAUUCAUUCAGGUAAAUCCAGAUCAUGUGAUGCUUCAAUUUGUACUAACCUCAGAGAUGAUAACUUGCAGCUGUUCUUUAAGAUAUGCAGUAGCAUAAAAAGUAGAGGCCUAUGACAUGUGAAGAAGUUGAAUGUUUCUUUAUUUUUAAGCUGGUUGAUGUUUAGAAGUACUACCUAAUCAUUAAUUUGAAUGACUAAGUUUUACUAGUAUAUGGAUAUGAUUGAAA